CUCCUCAUCGUCCUCCUCGACCUGCUCCUCCCGCCCGCGCUCCUCUCCAACUUCCUCCCCGCCGGCGUCCACCACGCCUCCGCGCACAGCCUCCUUGACCAGGCCAGGGGCUUCCACUUCCGCUCCUCCCUCGUCAACCUCCUCGCCAUCUCCGCCGCCCGCUCCCUCCUCAUCCUCUGCACGUACACGGCAUGCGGGGGCGGCGCGGCCUACCUGUGUGUGGCGGCAGCCUGCAGCAUCGGCUCCCUCUUCUACAUCCUCGCCAAGGCCGUCGCGGUCUUUGGCGUGGCCGCCGACGGCGCGCCGGUCUCGAGCUGCAUGGCAAGGGCCAGCUCCUCGCCUUGGCCUACCGGGCCAGUAGCCGGGAGAAGCGCCGGCUGCACGUCGUCUAUAGGAUCAACAUCGAAGUAG
rnacentral:rRNA from 1 species